CAGGAACAGCUCUCCUCUGUAAUGAACACCGUGCUAACCAGGGCCACGCCCAUCACACCACCAAAAACUGUGGAGAGACAGCCAGCAGGAAAAGAUAUUGUGUUCUUGUUGGAUGGAUCUGAUGGUACUAGAACUGGCUUCCCAGCUGUGAAAGACUUUGUCCAAAGAGUUGUAGAGACACUCAGUGUGGAUGACAACAAAGACCGUGUCUCAGUGGUUCAGUACAGCAAAGAGCCAGCUGCCCAAUUCUAUCUGAACACGUACACCACAAAAGGCGACAUCCUUGACACUGUCAGAGGAUUGAGGCACAAAGGUGGAAGACCCCUCAACACUGGAGCAGCUCUCCAGUACUUGAGGGAUAAUGUCUUCACGGCCUCUGCUGGAAGCAGGCUCCAGGAAGGAGUCCCACAGGUCCUAGUUUUGAUAAGUGGUGGAAGGUCUUUUGACAGUGUUGAUGCACCAGCCUCUGCUCUCAAAGAGCUGGGUGUCUUGACCUUUGCAAUUGGAACCAGGAGUGCUGAUAGCAAAGAACUGCAGAAGAUAUCCCACGACCCCAGCUAUGCACUAACUGUGUCUGAAUUCACUGACCUUCCCAAUGUCCAACAACAACUUCAGUCCUCCGUGGAGGCUGUGGUUAUCGAGGUCUCCCCAGAAUCACCACCUGUUCCUGUCGAUACUGCCAAAAAGGAUAUCGUUUUCCUCCUGGAUGGUUCUGAUGGCACACGGAAUGGCUUCCCUGCCAUGCUUGAUUUUGUUAAGAGAGUGGUGGAGAAAUUGAAUGUAGGACCUAACAAUGACCGUGUCUCUGUGGUCCAAUACAGCAGAGAUGCAGAGAUCCAUUUCUAUCUGAACACAUACACCACAAGACAGGAUAUUUUGGAUACAGUCAGAGGGCUGAGACAUAGAGGAGGCAGACCCCUCAACACCGGGGCGGCCCUCCAAUACGUCAGGGACAACGCCUUUACAAACUCCUCCGGGAGCAGGCGCCUGCAAGGUGUUCCACAAAUGUUGAUCCUGCUAAAUGGUGGAAGGUCUUUUGACAAUGUAGAUACCCCAGCCUCUGCUCUCAAACAGCAGGGUGUCUAUGUGAUAGGCAUUGGCACAAGGAACUCUGACACUAGGGAGCUGCAGAAGAUAUCAUAUGACCCUAGUUCUGCUCUAUCAGUGUCUGAUUUCACUGACCUCCCCAGUGCCCAGGAACAGCUCUCCUCUGUAAUGAACACAGUGCUAACCAGGGCCACGCCCAUCACACCAACAAAAGCUGGUAAGAAAGUGACAGAUUUUUAUUUUCCAAGGUCAUGGUAGGAUGCAAAUUGAACAGUAUGACAGUGUAUUUAUUGUAGCUGAGGCAAGCCAGCAGCACUCUGAGAAUACAUUUGUUCCAGAUUAUACAGAGUACAUUGUUAAAUUCCAGGUUAGCUUUGGUCAUCUGACUUUCACAUGGAAAACAUUUGACACAUGAACCUGAACAUGUCUGACAUUUUUUAUUCCCUAGUGGAGAGACAGCCAGCAGGAAAAGAUAUUGUGUUCUUGUUGGAUGGAUCUGAUGGUACUAGAACUGGCUUCCCAGCUGUGAAAGACUUUGUCCAAAGAGUUGUAGAGACACUCAGUGUGGAUGACAACAAAGACCGUGUCUCAGUGGUUCAGUACAGCAAAGAGCCAGCUGCCCAAUUCUAUCUGAACACGUACACCACAAAAGGCGACAUCCUUGACACUGUCAGAGGAUUGAGGCACAAAGGUGGAAGACCCCUCAACACUGGAGCAGCUCUCCAGUACUUGAGGGAUAAUGUCUUCACGGCCUCUGCUGGAAGCAGGCUCCAGGAAGGAGUCCCACAGGUCCUAGUUUUGAUAAGUGGUGGAAGGUCUUUUGACAGUGUUGAUGCACCAGCCUCUGCUCUCAAAGAGCUGGGUGUCUUGACCUUUGCAAUUGGAACCAGGAGUGCUGAUAGCAAAGAACUGCAGAAGAUAUCCCACGACCCCAGCUAUGCACUAACUGUGUCUGAAUUCACUGACCUUCCCAAUGUCCAACAACAACUUCAGUCCUCCGUGGAGGCUGUGGUUAUCGAGGUCUCCCCAGAAUCACCACCUGUUCCUGUCGAUACUGCCAAAAAGGAUAUCGUUUUCCUCCUGGAUGGUUCUGAUGGCACACGGAAUGGCUUCCCUGCCAUGCUUGAUUUUGUUAAGAGAGUGGUGGAGAAAUUGAAUGUAGGACCUAACAAUGACCGUGUCUCUGUGGUCCAAUACAGCAGAGAUGCAGAGAUCCAUUUCUAUCUGAACACAUACACCACAAGACAGGAUAUUUUGGAUACAGUCAGAGGGCUGAGACAUAGAGGAGGCAGACCCCUCAACACCGGGGCGGCCCUCCAAUACGUCAGGGACAACGCCUUUACAAACUCCUCCGGGAGCAGGCGCCUGCAAGGUGUUCCACAAAUGUUGAUCCUGCUAAAUGGUGGAAGGUCUUUUGACAAUGUAGAUACCCCAGCCUCUGCUCUCAAACAGCAGGGUGUCUAUGUGAUAGGCAUUGGCACAAGGAACUCUGACACUAGGGAGCUGCAGAAGAUAUCAUAUGACCCUAGUUCUGCUCUAUCAGUGUCUGAUUUCACUGACCUCCCCAGUGCCCAGGAACAGCUCUCCUCUGUAAUGAACACAGUGCUAACCAGGGCCACGCCCAUCACACCAACAAAAGCUGGUAAGAAAGUGACAGAUUUUUAUUUUCCAAGGUCAUGGUAGGAUGCAAAUUGAACAGUAUGACAGUGUAUUUAUUGUAGCUGAGGCAAGCCAGCAGCACUCUGAGAAUACAUUUGUUCCAGAUUAUACAGAGUACAUUGUUAAAUUCCAGGUUAGCUUUGGUCAUCUGACUUUCACAUGGAAAACAUUUGACACAUGAACCUGAACAUGUCUGACAUUUUUUAUUCCCUAGUGGAGAGACAGCCAGCAGGAAAAGAUAUUGUGUUCUUGUUGGAUGGAUCUGAUGGUACUAGAACUGGCUUCCCAGCUGUGAAAGACUUUGUCCAAAGAGUUGUAGAGACACUCAGUGUGGAUGACAACAAAGACCGUGUCUCAGUGGUUCAGUACAGCAAAGAGCCAGCUGCCCAAUUCUAUCUGAACACGUACACCACAAAAGGCGACAUCCUUGACACUGUCAGAGGAUUGAGGCACAAAGGUGGAAGACCCCUCAACACUGGAGCAGCUCUCCAGUACUUGAGGGAUAAUGUCUUCACGGCCUCUGCUGGAAGCAGGCUCCAGGAAGGAGUCCCACAGGUCCUAGUUUUGAUAAGUGGUGGAAGGUCUUUUGACAGUGUUGAUGCACCAGCCUCUGCUCUCAAAGAGCUGGGUGUCUUGACCUUUGCAAUUGGAACCAGGAGUGCUGAUAGCAAAGAACUGCAGAAGAUAUCCCACGACCCCAGCUAUGCACUAACUGUGUCUGAAUUCACUGACCUUCCCAAUGUCCAACAACAACUUCAGUCCUCCGUGGAGGCUGUGGUUAUCGAGGUCUCCCCAGAAUCACCACCUGUUCCUGGUAUGUUAACAAGCAUGGCCCCUUACAGGCCUGAUAGAUACAUGAUUUGUUUGACCUACACUGAGGCAAGGAAAAUAAGUGUGAAAUUUGUG